AUUGAACGCUGGCGGAAUGCUUUACACAUGCAAGUCGAACGGCAGCACGGACUUCGGUCUGGUGGCGAGUGGCGAACGGGUGAGUAAUACAUCGGAACGUGCCCAGUCGUGGGGGAUAACGUAGCGAAAGAUACGCUAAUACUGCAUACGCUCUACGGAGGAAAGCGGGGGAUCGCAAGACCUCGCGCGAUUGGAGCGGCCGAUGGCAGAUUAGGUAGUUGGUGGGGUAAAGGCUCACCAAGCCGACGAUCUGUAGCUGGUCUGAGAGGCCGACCAGCCACACUGGGGCUGCGACACGGCCCAGACUCCGACGGGAGGCAGCAGUGGGGAAUUUUGGACAAUGGGCGCAAGCCUGAUCCAGCCAGUCCGCGUGCAGGAUGAAGGCCCUCGGGUUGUAAACUGCUUUUGUACGGAACGAAAAGGCUCUGGUUAAUACCCGGGGCUCAUGACGGUACCGUAAGAAUAAGCACCGGCUAACUACGUGCCAGCAGCCGCAGUAA
rnacentral:rRNA from 1 species